rnacentral:sRNA from 1 species
GCCGGCCAGGGUGCCGCAGACGCGGGGACGCUGGCUCGCUCCCUCCCUCCCUCCGACGCUAUCAAAUGAUGCUGUUUGGAAAAAUUUCCCAGCAGUUGUGUGGCGUAAAGAAACUCCCAUGGUCAUGUGACUCCAGAUACUUCUGGGGCUGGUUGAAUGCAGUGUUUAAUAAGGUGGAUUAUGAUCGCAUCAGGGAUGUUGGCCCUGACAGGGCGGCAUCCGAGUGGUUGCUGCGCUGCGGGGCCAUGGUGCGCUACCAUGGCCAGGAGAGGUGGCAGAAGGACUACAACCACCUUCCAACAGGCCCUCUGGACAAAUACAAGAUUCAGGCGAUCGACGCCACCGACUCUUGUAUCAUGAGCAUUGGAUUUGAUCACAUGGAGGGCCUAGAGCAUGUUGAAAAAAUAAGGCUGUGCAAGUGUCAUUAUAUCGAGGAUGACUGUUUGCUGAGACUUAGUCAACUUGAAAAUUUACAAAAAACCAUAUUGGAAAUGGAAAUAAUAUCCUGUGGGAAUAUCACAGACAAAGGCAUCAUUGCUUUGCGUCAUUUAAGAAACCUCAAAUAUUUGUUGUUAAGUGAUCUUCCUGGAGUAAGAGAAAAAGAAAAUCUUGUCCAAGCCUUUAAGACAGCACUGCCUUCUCUGGAACUAAAAUUACAAUUGAAGUAAAAUAAUGUGUCUUAUUUCAGUAUAAAGGAUCAUUUGAAACUGUUGAUUCCAAACAUCAACUAAUAUUAUAUAGUCAUCAGUAGAAUUAUAAGGAUGCCAUAUCAUGACAUUUUAGAAGUGGAGAGUGCAUCAUAUGUAGAAAAUAAAUAUUCAGACGUGACUCAUUAAUGUUACUAAGUUGGAAGUGAGAAUUUAUGAACAUUAAUUCAUUUUAAGAAAAGUGCAGCCAGGCGCAGUGGCUCAUGCCUGUAAUCCUAGCACUUUGGGAGGCCAAAGCGGGCAGAUCACCUGAGGUCAGGAGUUCAAGACCAACCAUGGCCAACAUGGUGAAACCCCAUCUCUACUAAAAAAACAAAAUUAGCUGAAUGUGGUGGUGCACGCCUUUAAUCCCAGCUACUCUGGAGGCUGAGGCAGGAGAAUCACUUGACUUGGGAGGUGGAGGUUGCAGGGACCCAAGAUUGUGCCACUGCACUCCAGCCUGGGUGACAGAGCGAGACUGUCUCAAAAAAAAAAAAAAAAAAGAAAAAUGUAAACUAGGUAACAUUUUAAUUCUAAUAUAUUCAUUUAAUAUGUAAAUCUAUAGAUAUCUCUUGAUGUAGAUAUUUAUUUAGAAUCCUUUAAAGUUAUUUGUACAACAGAUGUUUUUAUUAUAACAGUAAUUUACAUUUAACUUUAAAGUUAGUGAAGCAUACUACCAUAAAUGCACAAUUAUGAAAAAUUAGAAGGUAAAUUACAGAUUCAUUGAUGGAGUCAAUUAUGCAAAGUGGUCAGUGGUUGUUGAAGCAUGCAUUGCUUCAACAGGAUUUGCGUGCAUUUCCCAUGAUCCUGCAUUCUUGUGUUCUUGAUAGCAUACAGACUUUCUCAGAAUCAACAGUUGCUGCUUAAUUUGUCUAUUUUGUAAGCUUAGGCUACUAUUUUAUUAAAACUGGACAUAGAUACUUGGCUGAAUACAAAUAGUUUUGCAGAUUGCAAUAUAAUAAAGGAAACAAUAAAAACCAGUGGGCUAUGCUUAGGUUUUUCUUGAAACCUAACAUUGCUUUAGGCUGGGUGCCGUGGCUCGUGCCUGUAAUCCCAGUGCUUUGGGAGGCUGAGGUGGGAGGAUCACUUGAGACCAGGAGUUUGAGACCAAUUUGGGCAACACAGCGAGACCCCAUCUCUAAAAAAAUUUUAAAAAUUAGGCAGGCAUGGUGGUGCAUACCUGUAAUCUCAGAUACUUGGGAGGUUGAGGUGGUAGGAUUGCUUGAGCUCAGGAGUUUGAGGCUGCAGUAAGCUAUGAUCACGGCCACUGCACACCAGCCUGGUAGCCUGGGUGAAAGGGGGAGACCUGUCUCUUAAAAAAAA